rnacentral:rRNA from 1 species
GAUGAACGCUGGCGGCGUGCCUAAUACAUGCAAGUCGAGCGAACAGACGAGGAGCUUGCUCCUCUGACGUUAGCGGCGGACGGGUGAGUAACACGUGGAUAACCUACCUAUAAGACUGGGAUAACUUCGGGAAACCGGAGCUAAUACCGGAUAAUAUAUUGAACCUCAUGGUUCAAUAGUGAAAGACGGUUUUGCUGUCACUUAUAGAUGGAUCCGCGCCGCAUUAGCUAGUUGGUAAGGUAACGGCUUACCAAGGCGACGAUGCGUAGCCGACCUGAGAGGGUGAUCGGCCACACUGGAACUGAGACAAGGUCCAGACUCCUACGGGAGGCAGCAGUAGGGAAUAUUCCGCAAUGGGCGAAAGCAUGACGGAGCAACGCCGCGUGAGUGAUGAAGGUCUUCGGCUCGUAAAACUCUGUUAUUAGGGAAGAACAAAUGUGUAAGUAACUAUGCACGUCUUGACGGUACCUAAACAGAAAGCCACGGCUAACUACGUG